rnacentral:sRNA from 1 species
AAUGAUUUCUUGAAACAUUUUAAAGUUUCAAUUCUUUAAAAUAAAAAAUCCGAGUAAAAUCAGAUAACUAUUUUAAUUUUGGACGCCUGAUAAAUCAAGCUUCCUGCUCAUUCGUAAUUAGAAUCAUUUUGGUCCUUUUAUAAUAUGGGUCUGAACCAUUGUAACAGAUAGAUAUUUGAAUAUUCAGUAUAUUUUGCUUCAGUUUAGGAAAUCUUUGAUGACUUGUCUUUAGAUUCAAUAAGCCUUUUAAUCUAGAUAUUAACUUGCAGUAUACCGCAGGUAGGCUUAUAUUUUAGUUCAACUAAAAACUUUUAUUGUAAAGAUGAUUUAAAAGUAUAUGAUAUUAUUUUAUUUGAUUUUAAAUGUAUAGUAAACUGUGAGUUGUAUAUAUUUUGUUGAUAUUAUCUAUAUUGUUUAGUGUUUAAGAUUAUACACUUGUAGCUUGAUUUUUAAUUUAAGAGUUUCACCUGUAGUAUACCAUCUUGUAUUAAUAUCGAUCUAAACCCGUCAAUUCUAGGAUUUUUCAGCUUGUAUUAAAAAUUGAAUCACAUCUAAUAUGUUAUUACUUAUUGUAGUAUAUAAGAUUAUAAAUUUUCAAUAUAAUAUGUAUAAAAUUGAA